rnacentral:rRNA from 1 species
AGUGAACGCUGGCGGUAGGCCUAACACAUGCAAGUCGAACGGCAGCACAGUAAGAGCUUGCUCUUACGGGUGGCGAGUGGCGGACGGGUGAGGAAUACAUCGGAAUCUACUUUUUCGUGGGGGAUAACGUAGGGAAACUUACGCUAAUACCGCAUACGUCCUACGGGUGAAAGCAGGGGAUCUUCGGACCUUGCGCGAUUGAAUGAGCCGAUGUCGGAUUAGCUAGUUGGCGGGGUAAAGGCCCACCAAGGCGACGAUCCGUAGCUGGUCUGAGAGGAUGAUCAGCCACACUGGAACUGAGACACGGUCCAGACUCCUACGGGAGGCAGCAGUGGGGAAUAUUGGACAAUGGGCGCAAGCCUGGUCCAGCCAUACCGCGUGGGUGAAGAAGGCCUUCGGGUUGUAAAGCCCUUUUGUUGGGAAAGAAAAGCAGCAGGUUAAUACCCCGCUGUUCUGACGGUACCCAAAGAAUAAGCACCGGCUAACUUCGUG